rnacentral:rRNA from 1 species
UGUGAGGCUAGUGUGUAGGCAAAUCCGCACACUAUUAGGCUGGGCUGUGAUGGGGAGCGAAAAUUAUAGUAGCGAAGGUCAUGUACUCCGGCUGUCAAGAAAAGCCUCUAGCCAGGUGAAGGUGCCCGUACCGCAAACCGACACAGGUAGGCGAGCAGAGCAUGCUAAGGCGCGCGGAAGAACUCUCGUUAAGGAACUCGGCAAAAUGACCCCGUAACUUCGGGAGAAGGGGUGCCUCGGUAGGGUGAAUAGCCCGAGGGGGCCGCAGUGAAAAGGCCCAAGCGACUGUUUAGCAAAAACACAGGUCUGUGCGAAGCCGUAAGGCGAAGUAUACGGGCUGACGCCUGCCCGGUGCUGGAAGGUUAAGGGGAGCGGUUAGGGGUAACCCGAAGCUGUGAACCGAAGCCCCAGUAAACGGCGGCCGUAACAAUAACGGUCCUAAGGUAGCGAAAUUCCUUGUCAGGUAAAUUCUGACCCGCACGAAUGGCGUAACGACUUGGGCGCUGUCUCAACGAGAGAUCCGGUGAAAUUUUAAUACCUGUGAAGAUGCAGGUUACCCGCGACAAGACGGAAAGACCCCAUGGAGCUUUACUGUAACUUGAUAUUGGACUUUGGUACGAUCUGUACAGGAUAGGUGGGAGCCUGAGAAGCAUGAGCGCCAGCUUGUGUGGAGGCGACGUUGGGAUACCACCCUGAUCGUAUCGGAGUUCUAACCUAGAACCGUGAAACCGGUUCGGGGACCGUGUCAGGUGGACAGUUUGACUGGGGCGGUCGCCUCCUAAAAUGUAACGGAGGCGCCCAAAGGUUCCCUCAGAAUGGUUGGAAAUCAUUCGAAGAGUGCAAAGGCAUAAGGGAGCUUGACUGCGAGACCUACAAGUCGAGCAGGGACGAAAGUCGGGCUUAGUGAUCCGGUGGUACCAAAUGGAAGGGCCAUCGCUCAACGGAUAAAAGCUACCCUGGGGAUAACAGGCUUAUCUCCCCCAAGAGUCCACAUCGACGGGGAGGUUUGGCACCUCGAUGUCGGCUCAUCGCAUCCUGGGGCUGAAGUAGGUCCCAAGGGUUGGGCUGUUCGCCCAUUAAAGCGGUACGCGAGCUGGGUUCAGAACGUCGUGAGACAGUUCGGUCCCUAUCUGUCGCGGGCGCAGGAAAUUUGAGAGGAGCUGUCCUUAGUACGAGAGGACCGGGAUGGACGUACCGCUGGUGUACCAGUUGUUCCGCCAGGAGCACCGCUGGGUAGCCAAGUACGGACGGGAUAAGCGCUGAAAGCAUCUAAGCGUGAAGCCCCCCUCGAGAUGAGAUUUCCCAGUAUGUAAGACCCCUUGAAGACGACGAGGUUGAUAGGUUCGGGGUGGAAGCACAGCAAUGUGUGUAGCUGACGAAUACUAAUCGGUCGAGGGCUUAUCCUG